rnacentral:rRNA from 1 species
AAUGGGAUACCUAAAUUUCCCAUGGCAAACUGCUCAGUAACACAUGAUCAACUUACCCUAUAGAGAAAAAUAAGCUCGGGAAACUGAGGAUAAUGUUUCACAGUUGAAUAGGCUUGGAAAAGUUUUUCAAUAAAAGGGAUAAAAAAAAUGGUUUUUAUCUGCUAUAGGAUAGGAUCGUGGACGAUUAUGGUUGUUGGUGAGGUAACGGCUCACCAAGCCGAUAAUCGAUAGGGGCCGUGAGAGCGGGAGCCCCGAGAUGGGUACUGAGACAACGACCCAGGCCUUACGAGGCGCAGCAGGCGCGGAACCUCCGCAAUACACGAAAGUGUGACGGGGUUACCCAAAGUGUUCAAUUCUGAACUGUGGUAGGUGAGUAAUGUCCCCUACUAGAAAGGAGAGGGCAAGGCUGGUGCCAGCCGCCGCGGUAAAACCAGCUCUUCAAGUGGUCGGGAUAAUUAUUGGGCUUAAAGUGUCCGUAGCCGGUUUGGUAAGUUCCUGGUAAAAUCGGGUAGCUUAACUAUCCGUAUGCUAGGAAUACUACCAUACUAGAGGGCGGGAGAGGUCUGAGGUACUACAGGGGUAGGGGUGAAAUCUUAUA